AAACCGCAAAAAAAGAUAUUCAUUACAACUUUAAAGGUCAAGUGUCAUCCCUAUAAACAUUCUAAUAUAGAUAUUGAAAUGAAAAAUACAUAUAACAUUAUUCACUUCAAUGUCUAUACAAAAAAAUAUGAGUGGAGAGCACGUCAUCUAUGCGCAAACUUGCGGAAGUCUCAUUCGACAUCCAAGUGGUCGUCUUGUUGGCUGCAUCUCCUGCCCGUGACGUCACCCCGGACAUUCGCCAUUGAAAACACGCUGUAACCCCUACUGUGGGAGACGAACACGCCCCUUCAGACACGGAAGCUCUUUUACAAGAAGAGAACAUCUCGCAACCGAGUGAAGUUUCCGGGGCAAUAUUACUCUAUUGUUUUGAGCCGUAUUUAGAUGAUAUGCGGAUCACGGCCAAACCACCUCUGCGCGACGGUGAUAAAAACAACACUGCGAGCGACGAUGACACAGCAGCCAAACCACCUCCCAGUCCGAUCCACUUCCGCGGCGGAGAUGAGCCCAGCCGCGACGAGCCACCCCGGCCGACAUCCUCCCGAGUGUUCGAGCAAUAUCCAGCAAUGCAACGAGCCGGCAUUUUGGCUGAAACGAAGGAACAACAAGCUAUCUUCGCGCAGACAGGCAGUGGGACUUGAGGGGAACCUGCCGUCCUGAUGAAAUCGAGGACCUGAGUCUGUUAAGGGGAAACCUGGAAGAGAUCGCUGAGAACGAGUGGAUGUUGGGCCCGUUGUUACCGAGGGAGCAGCACUGAGGACGUCUGCGACAGCAGUUUGAAAAAAAAAAAAAAUGUGGUGGAAUAGUUGUGGUUUACCCAAACUGGCAUAGCACAUACUUUUAGCACAGAUUCAAGGGAGAUCCAACUAAAGGCUGUUCUGACUACAGUAGUUGCUAAAUUUGGUUUGAAGUGACUUAUUUACAGGUGGGGGUGGGGGGGGGGCAUGUAA